rnacentral:rRNA from 1 species
CAGCUGCCACGGUAAUACGUAGGGCGCAAGCGUUGUCCGGAAUUAUUGGGCGUAAAGAGCUCGUAGGCGGUCUGUCGCGUCUGGUGUGAAAUCCCGAGGCUCAACCUCGGGCUUGCAUCGGGUACGGGCAGACUAGAGUGCGGUAGGGGAGACUGGAAUUCCUGGUGUAGCGGUGGAAUGCGCAGAUAUCAGGAGGAACACCGAUGGCGAAGGCAGGUCUCUGGGCCGCAACUGACGCUGAGGAGCGAAAGCAUGGGGAGCGAACAGGAUUAGAUACCCCAGUAGUCCCUGUCUCUUAUAC